rnacentral:rRNA from 1 species
UACGGAGGAGGCAAGCGUUAUCCGGAAUUAUUGGGCGUAAAGCGUCCGUAGGUGGUUGUACAAGUCUUUUGUCAAAGCGCGAGGCUUAACUUCGUAAGGGCAGGAGAAACUGUAGAGCUAGAGUGCGGUAGGGGUAGAGGGAAUUCCCAGUGUAGCGGUGAAAUGCGUAGAUAUUGGGAAGAACACCGGUGGCGAAAGCGCUCUACUGGGCCUGCACUGACACUGAGGGACGAAAGCUAGGGGAGCGAAAGGG